rnacentral:rRNA from 1 species
UACGUAGGGUCCGAGCGUUGUCCGGAAUUACUGGGCGUAAAGAGCUCGUAGGUGGUUUGUCGCGUUGUCCGUGAAAACUCACAGCUCAACUGUGGGCGUGCGGGCGAUACGGGCAGACUGGAGUACUGCAGGGGAGACUGGAAUUCCUGGUGUAGCGGUGAAAUGCGCAGAUAUCAGGAGGAACACCGAUGGCGAAGGCAGGUCUCUGGGCCAUAACUGACGCUGGAGAAGCGAAAGCAUGGGGAGCGAACAGG